rnacentral:rRNA from 1 species
UCAAGCGAACAAGGGCGCAGGGCGAAUGCCUUGGCACUGGGAGCCGAUGAAAGACGUGAUAAGCUGCGAUAAGCUUCGGGGAGCUGCAAAUAAGCAUUGAUCCGGAGAUUUCUGAAUGAGGAAACUCACCUGGGUUCAUACUCAGGUACGUUGUACUGAAAUUCAAAAUAGGUACAUCGAGGGAACCGCCUGAACUGAAACAUCUAAGUAGGGCGAGGAAGAGACAUCAAACGAGAUUCCGUAAGUAGUGGCGAGCGAACGCGGAAGAGGGCAAACCGAGAGUAGAAAUACUUUCGGGGUACGGAGCGCAUUUAGGACUUAAGUUGUUAACCGAACGGCAUGGGAAGGCCGGUCAGAGAGUGUGAGAACCACGUAGGUGAAAACGACAAGAGCUGAGCGAUUUCCAGAGUACGGCCAGACACGUGAAACCUGGUCGGAAGAUGGGGGGACCACCCUCCAACCCUAAAUACUACCCAGUGACCGAUAGCGUAUAGUACUGUGAAGGAAAGGUGAAAAGCACCCCGGGAGGGGAGUGAAAAAGAACCUGAAACCCUGUGCCUACAAGCACCUAGAGCACGUCAAAGUGUGAUAGGGUACUUUUUGUAGAACGGUCCGGCGAGCGAUUGUAUGCAGCAAGGUUAAGGACUUAAGGUCUGGAGCCGAAGCGAAAGCGAGUUUGAAAAGGGCGUUAAGUUGCAUAUAAUGGGCCCGAAACCGGGUGACCUACCCAUGGUCAGGUUGAAGUGGAAGUAAAAUUCCAUGGAGGACCGAACCGACCUCCGUUGAAAAGGCGGCGGAUGAACUGUGGGUAGCGGAGAAAUUCCAAUCGAACCCGGAGAUAGCUGGUUCUCCCCGAAAUAGUUUUAGGACUAGCCUCAAGUUAGAUACCUGGAGGUAAAGCACUGAAUAGCCUAGCGGCCGAGAGGUUAGCGAAGCUUAUCAAACUCAGAAUGCCAGAGUAUUGAUGCUUGGGAGUCAGACAGUGUCAGAUAAAUGUCAUUGUCAAAAGGGAAACAGCCCAGAUCUACAGCUAAGGUCCCAAAGUCAGGUUAAGUGGAAAACGAUGUGAAGAUACGCAGACAACCAGGAUGUUGGCUCAGAAGCAGCCACUCAUUCAAAGAGUGCGUAAUAGCUCACUGGUCGAGCGUCUUUGCGCGGAGAAUUUAACGGGGCUAAACCUGACACCGAAGCUUAGGCAAUCCAGUAAUGGAUUGGGUAGGGGAGCGUUGUAUACGCGGAGAAACAGUAGCGUAAGCGGCUGUGGAGUGUAUAGAAGUGAGAAUGCCGGAAUGAGUAGCGCGAAUGCAGUGAGAAUCUGCAUGGCCGAAAGCCUCAGGUUUUUGGAGGAAGGUUCGUCCGCUCCAAGUUAGUCGGGAGCUAAGGUGAGGCCGGAAGGCGUAGCCGAUGCACAGACGGUAGAGAUUCCGUCACCACCAAAAGAGUUAAGCACAGGGACACAUUUGAAGUCUCAGAGCCGGGUGUUGGUUCCGGUAGAGAUCGAGGGAAGUUAGUACCGAAGUCUGAGAUGGAAGAUGGCGAGAAAAGCUGUGUGUAUUUCUGAGGUGCCCGUACCGCAAACCGACACAGGUAGGUAGGAAGAAGAUUCUAAGGCCAACGGGAGAAGGGUUGUUAAGGAACUCGGCAAAUUGACCCCGUAACUUCGGGAGAAGGGGUGCUCCAGAGAUGGAGCCGCAGAGAAUCGGCCCAAGCAACUGUUUACCAAAAACACAGGUUUGUGCUAAAUCGAAAGAUGACGUAUACGAGCUGACGCCUGCCCGGUGCUGGAAGGUUAAAAGGAGAUGUGCAAGCAUUGAAUUGAAGCCCCAGUGAACGGCGGCCGUAACUAUAACGGUCCUAAGGUAGCGAAAUUCCUUGUCAGGUAAGUUCUGACCCGCACGAAAGGCGUAAUGAUUUGGGCACUGUCUCAACAGCCCGCCCGGCGAAAUUGUAGUACCGGUGAAGAUGCCGGUUACCCGCGACAAGACGGAAAGACCCCAUGGAGCUUUACUGUAGCCUAAUAUUGGGUUUCGAUGUUGCAUGCACAGGAUAGAUGGGACACAGGGAAGCAGGUGCUUUGGCGCUUGUGGAGUGGCCGUUGGGAUACCAUCCUUGCGAUAUUGGAAUUCUAACCUGCGCCUUUGAAUCAAGGCGGGGGACAUUGUUAGGUGGGCAGUUUGACUGGGGCGGUCGCCUCCUAAAGAGUAACGGAGGCGUUCAAAGGUUCGCUCAGCUUGAACGGAAAUCAAGCAAAAGAG